rnacentral:lncRNA from 1 species
GUCGGCUGCUUGGGAAGGUUUCAACAAUAUUUUCAUCAUAUUUAUUGAAGGCCUCACUGACAGACUUCUCAAGGCCCCUCUACCUUCUAUUCGCUGCCUGGCCCCAAAGCCAGUGCCACACAUUUUAGGUUUUUAACUGCAGCAGCACCUAUGAUGUUUCCAAAAUCUGUAUCAUUAAAGUUUGAUCAGAGAAGCAAAACCACCUUGAGCAAAACAAGGAAUUUAUUAAAGAGAUUAGGAUACACAUUGUUAUGAAAGCUGCAACCUGCUGCCCCUGUGUCCAGAAGUGGGCCUGAAGUCAGCAGGGCUGGCAAAUGGAUGUGCAGUGGGAGAGAGUAGGCGUGAGCUGCACCUGCAGGGAGGAGAUGGAACUCCUGUGGAUGGACUGAAACUGAUGUCUUCCACGUCAGCCUCUCAGGCCUCCAACACUCCAGCGCUGAUGAUGAAGAUGACCUGCAGAGGAGCUGGUGCCCUUCACCAUGGAAUUGCUCAUAAACCCAAGAUUCAGUGAAGCUGAAGAAGCAGUUCUGGUGGGAGCUGGAGGAACUGCAGGCACAGCUGCUGCCCUGUACCAAUACAUUGAGCCAGUGGCUGCCUGGCAUUGUGUGUGAGCCACCACAGCGCCUGGCCCUACACAGACUUUGACUGUAAAUAUGACUGCUGUUUCACUUCUGCCUUCCAAAUUUUGCUCAGAUUUUCUGAGAAACAUAGUUCAGCUUAGGUACAUUGACACAGUACAAAGCCACCGCAGUGGCUGGUUAGGGAGGGAUUAUGAAUGCAGGCUGAGAAUGCACGGGAAGCGUUUGUCUAUUUAUAGAGUAGGUACCAUUCAAGGAUUUAUGUGAAUCAGGUGCAAAGAACUCACACAAAGAUGGGGAAAGUUAGUACUUAGAAAUCAGUGAUACUAGAUAACCAAUAAAUAAAAAUAAACUUAUUUUUAGAAAAUAAGAAAAUAGAAAAGCUUUAAUAAAAUAGUAUUGGGCCGGGUGCAGUGGCUCACGCCUGUAAUCCUAGCACUUUGGGAGACUGAGGUGGGCGGAUCACCUGAGGUCAGGAGUUCCAGACCAGCCUGGCCAACAUGGUGAAACCCAAUCUCUACUAGAAAAAACCACAAAAAUUAGCUGGGCGUGGUGGUACGUGCCUGUAAUCCUAGCUCCUCGGGAAGCUGAGGCAGGAGAAUCGCUUGAACUCAGGAGGUGGAGGGUGCAGUGAGCCAAGAUCGUGCCAUUGCACCCCAGCCUGGGUGACAGAACAAGAUUCUAUCUCAAAAAAAUAAAAAUAAAAAUAAAUAAAUAAAAUAGUAUUGAAAUGGUGAAUAAUACUAUUUCAGCACAUCCUAAACAGAUCAUGCAGAUAGUAAGAGGUUUUCUGCAUGAGUUUGCUAGGGCUGCCGUAACAAAACACCAUGGACGGGAGCUUUAACAACAGAAAUUGAUUUCUCACAGUUCUGCAGGCAGGGUGUUCAGGACCAAGAUAUUGGCAGGCUUGGUUUCUCUGAAUCCUCUCUCCUUGGCUUGCAGGUGGCUGUUUUCUUUUCUUUUUUCUUUUUUUUUCUUUGAGAUGGAGUCUCACUCUG